UAGGGAAUCUUCGGCAAUGGGGGGAACCCUGACCGAGCAACGCCGCGUGAGUGAAGAAGGUUUUCGGAUCGUAAAGCUCUGUUGUUAAGGAAGAACGAGUGUGAGAAUGGAAAGUUCAUACUGUGACGGUACUUAACCAGAAAGGGACGGCUAACUACGUGCCAGCAGCCGCGGUAAUACGUAGGUCCCGAGCGUUGUCCGGAUUUAUUGGGCGUAAAGCGAGCGCAGGCGGUUAGAUAAGUCUGAAGUUAAAGGCAGUGGCUCAACCAUUGUAGGCUUUGGAAACUGUUUAACGUGAGUGCAGAAGAGGAGAGUGGAAUUCCAUGUGGAGCGGUGAAAUGCGUAGAUAUAUGGAGGAACACCAAUGGCGAAGGCGACUCUCUGGUCUGUAACUGACGCUGAGGCUCGAAAGCGUGGGUAGCAAACAGG
rnacentral:rRNA from 1 species